rnacentral:rRNA from 1 species
AUUGAACGCUGGCGGCAUGCUUUACACAUGCAAGUCGAGCGGCAGCGCGGGGGCAACCCUGGCGGCGAGCGGCGAACGGGUGAGGAAUACAUCGGAACGUGUCCCGUAGUGGGGGAUAGCUCGGCGAAAGCCGGAUUAAUACCGCAUAUGCUCUACGGAGGAAAGCCGGGGAUCUGUUACAGGACCUGGCGCUAUGGGAGCGGCCGAUGUCCGAUUAGCUAGUUGGUGAGGUAAAGGCUCACCAAGGCGACGAUCGGUAGCUGGUCUGAGAGGAUGAUCAGCCACACUGGGACUGAGACACGGCCCAGACUCCUACGGGAGGCAGCAGUGGGAAUUUUGGACAAUGGGGGCAACCCUGAUCCAGCCAUGCCGCGUGCGGGAAGAAGGCCUGG